AAACACACAGGUUCCUGAAGGGACGUAGGAGGAUGUGAUCUGUGUCCUAUCUGGGAUAUCAAGGGGAUGAAGGCAAUGGAAGUAGCUACCACUUGGUGACUUAGACAAACUCUUAAUGUAAAACCACCAUCAGAGCCACCCUGGAGUUAUGGCAAGGCCACCACAGUCUCCUCCAAAGGCCACUGAUAUGGAACUGGGAACCUCCCUCCAUAGAAUGCUAAAUGGCUGAUGUGAACUUGGUUAAGGAUCUAUAAUUCUUCUUAUGAAGAAAUAUUCAAGCAUCUAUGAAGUAGACAGGAUGGUAUCAUGAAUGCCCCCGUGCCCCUCACCAGCUUCAACAAUGAUCAACUUAUGACUUCACAGCUCCUCUAUAUCCGCGCUACUUUUCCUCUGCUCCCACACUGCUGUUUUUGUUUGUUGGCUUAUUAACAACUUUAUUAAGACAUAUUUCACAUAUCACAAAAUUAAUCCAUUUCAAGUAUAUAACUCAGUGAUUUCUAAUAACUUUACCAAGUGUUGAAACCAUUGCUAUAAGUCAAUUUUAGGACAUUUCCAUCCUUCCAGUAAUGUCACUCAUGUCCUUUUACAGUUAAUGCCCAUUCCCGUCUCCCAUCACAGGCAAACAUUAUUAAAAAUUUAAAUAAAAUAGAAUUUACAAUUCAGUUCCUCAGUUUCUAGCCACAUUUCAAUUGCUCCACUGGGCUAGUGGCUACUAUACUGGGCAGAGCAGACGCAGAACAUCCCCCGCCCCACAGCAGAAAGUUCUAUUGGGCAGCACUGAACUAUAGUGAACAUGAUUAGAAAUGCAGAGACUAUGAAAAGAGAAGGAAAAUUCAACAGUUAGACAGGUUGGAAGAGUAGACAAAAAGGGGUAGAAAAAUGUUUCUCUGGCACAAGUUGUCAAGCAGAGGAAAAAUAAAACAUAACAUGCAAAGUAACAGAGGAACUGUUUACACAUAACAGCCAAAGAAAAUGAGAUGCAGAAAAUAUACAUAAAAAGCCAAAAAAAAUGAGAUGCAACAAUCAAAGAUCACGAAAAGAACAGGAGGCAGAAAUUUCAGAAAGCAGGGUGUCAGAGCCAGGGAAAAGCAGAAGUAAUCUUGCCCUCUGUGUCCAGGGAAGGCUUGCACAUUAGCCCACAGCCAAGCUCAAAAUAGGAGUCAGGACAAAUACUUCACAAUCUUUUGUGAUUAGAAUCAGACUCCUUUAAGGUCUCCCCACCGACCCUCUUUAACUCAGCAGUGCAACUAUUGUUUUCCUCACACUGCUUUAUGCUGUUUAACUUCAAAUAAAAUGAAAGAACCAGAUAUUUAUUAACACAACUUUUAGUUCAGACUCUAAGAGUUAGUCACAGCACUCUUAAAGUCUCUGAAAGUGUUUUACAGUAUCCCAAAUCAACUAGUAUUCUCUAUCAGAAACCCUCAAUAGUAAAUGAUUCCAUUAAUUAUUCAACAAAUAUUUGUUACAUGCCAGAUACUCCUACUAGGCACUGGAGAUAGAGCUAUGAAUAAGAUAGAGCUAUGAAUAAGACAGACAAGGAAGGGCCUUUCUCCCAUGAGGCUUGUAGUCAGGCAAACUAUGUGUUUAACUGCAAAAGUUAAUAAAAACGUGUAAAUUGUACAUGU